rnacentral:tRNA from 1 species
GGAGGGUGUAGCUCAGUGGUAGAGUGCAUGCCUAGCAUGCUUGAUGUCCUGGGUUCAAUCCCCAGUACCUCCA